UCUCCCUCUUUCCCCUAUUUUUUCUUUCUCUUUCCUUCUCGUCCUCUCUCUCACUCUCUCCUCUCUCCUCAAUGGCAAAACCAGAUCAAACCACUACUCUCUUUCUCUCUUUGCACCAUUUUUAUUACCUUCACUAACCUCCAUUGUUUCUCAUCAAUGUCAUCUUCUCCUUGCUCUUCCACCUCCUCUUCCUUUGAUGAAUUUGACGACGAUUCUAUUCUCCUAAUUCGAAGAUGGCGAACCCCAGAAACCAAGUAUAUUCUAUUAUUUCCUUUUAAUUGUGCACUUUUGAUUAAUCGAUUUUUAUUUUUCGUGUUUUCCCCUAAUUUUAUUGGUGUUAUAUGUUUUGAUUCUAUCAACUGAGAUCUAGGGUUUCUGGGUUUCUAAUAAGAUGGGUGAUAGAUCUGGGUUAGUUGGGUGGUUUAAGGUGUUUUGGUUCGGAUUAGGUGGGUUUAGGUGAUAAUUUUGGUUAGUUGGGUGGUUUCGGGUUAGGUUGGUUAAGGUGGGUUCGGGUUAGGGUGGGUUAAGGUGGUCGGUUUGGUGUGUGGGUUUGGGUUAGGGACUUAGGGUGGGUCAAGGUGGUCGGUCUAGUGUGUGGGUUCGGUUUGGGGUGGGUUAAGGUUGUGUGUUUGGGUUAAGGUGGUGGAUCUGGUGGGUUUAGGUGGUGCAUGUGGUGGUUAAGGCGGGUUAGUUGGUUAGACGUGGUGGCUGUUCAGUGAAUCAAAAAUUCAAAGUCUCCAUUCCUUUCCCUGUUCUGCCUCGACCUUGAAUAUCUAAAUCGUGAGGUAUUGUCACACUGUCCUUGAAAAGGGUUCAGAAGCUGAGUUUUUUGAAGAGUUGGGUCCUAAAGCUAUGGUUGCUUUUGGUGAUACAAGAAUCCGGCCGUCAAAACCCCAAGGCGGCUUCCGCGGUGGUCCGUAUUGGUGAGCACUACGAAGAUAUGUUGGCUAAUUUACAAAACAUGAAGAUACCCUUCAGUGGUGAAGAAUGCUUCGGACAAUACGUAGAUUUACACGAGUGCCACAACAGCUUUUUACUAGAAUGAAGUUGAGGUUGGGGAGGCACUUGCUGAAGCUAUUCAAGUUGGGCUUGUCAAAAGGGAGGAUCUUUUCAUAACCACUAAGCUGUGGAGCUCUGACCAUGGACAUGUACAUGAAGCGUGCAAAGACAGUUUGAAGCAACUUCGACUUGAUUAUAUAUAUGGAUCUGUACCUAGUUCACUUACCUGUAGCCACAAAGCAUACUGUUUUGGCGCUUCAAAGUCACUGAAAAAGCUGAUACCGAUAAUGUUCUUCUCUUGUGGAUUUCAGAAGAUCAUGUAGGAAUAAUGCAAAAAUUUGUUAAACUAAGAUAUGGGGCUGCUUCUGUGCUGGUGUUCCGCUUCUGUGCUGGCGUGCUGCUCCAUAUAUGCGCUGCUGCUGCUGUUCAUCACUUCUGCUACUGUGUAGCUUCAUAUUUUUUUUACCUUGUAAUUUAUUUUAAAAUUUUAGACAAAAAUAGUAAUAUUACAUCAUUUUUUAUGAAAAUAUGUAACUUUAUAUAUAUAUUAGUGUUUAUUUAUCAAUUUAAGUG